GGAACCCCAUUAGAAAAGGUUUAGCCAACCAUUCUAUAGCGAGUCUUGGGAGGCACGGGGUGACCCGUGUUUCUAAGCGUAGACAGCAAACUAGUAGGCCGGAAGCAAAAGCUGAAGUGAUUUAGCCCCGAAAUCCCCAAACGGGAGGGCCGAUGUAGUGGACAGUGCAGAAGGCAACAUCUGUCUAGUAGAGCAAUUCUUAAUUAUCAUUGAACCACAAAUCGGCAUGGUAUAUAAUUU
rfam:Desulfotomaculum acetoxidans DSM 771, complete genome.